ensembl:snRNA U1 U1 spliceosomal RNA
AUACUUACCUGGCAGGGGAGAUACCAUGAUCACAAAGGUGGUUUUUCCAGGGCAAGGCUUAUCCAUUCACUGUAAUUUCUCCAAAUGUGGGAAACUUGACUGCAUAAUUUGUGGUAGUGGGGAACUGCGUUUGUUAUUUCCCCU